rnacentral:lncRNA from 1 species
UGUACAUUGUGGUAAACGGUAUCGCGAUUAGAUGAGAGGGAUAGAAGAAAAUGAGAACAUGAUUCCCUGCGACAUUAGGGCGGUGUACGUAAUAGUGUGUGAGUGGUUUGUCAGUUGGUGACUACUAUAUCCGUGUUAGUACUAUCGAUAAUUCAACACAACCAAGAGGGACACACUCCAAAGAAGAUAAGGACAUUUAUUUCUCAUCUUUGGCAUAUCUCUUUGUGGAUAAACGGAAGAAAAAGAAGAGGACAGAAGGAAGAGAAAUCCUUAUUUUACGUUCAUUUUCAAUCUUCGAGGAUUAUCCUCCUCCUCCCCCCCUCUUCCAUUCGAAUGGCAGAAAGAAUUGAUAUUACUUCAUUGGUAAAAUUUGUGUUUACCGAUUUCUUUCGUAAUAUCGUAAUACACGAGAAAAGACGCAGCUCUUACUGACGUCGAUGACGUACCAUGCACGAGAGAAAGUCCCGUCGAAAUUAAAGCACUUUUACGUUCGUCCAAGUAGAGAGAGAGAGAGAGAGA